rnacentral:rRNA from 1 species
CAGUAGCCGCGGUAACACGUAGGUGGCAAGCGUUGUCCGGAAUUAUUGGGCGUAAAGGGUGCGUAGGCGGUUUCGUAAGUCUUAUGUGAAAUCUAUGGGCUCAACCCAUAGUCCGCAUGGGAAACUGCGAGGCUUGAGGAUGGGAGAGGUGAGUGGAAUUUCCGGUGUAGCGGUGAAAUGCGUAGAUAUCGGAAGGAACACCUGUGGCGAAAGCGGCUCACUGGACCAUUUCUGACGCUGAUGCACGAAAGCUAGGGGAGCAGACAGGAUUAGAUACCCCCGUAGUCCCUGUCUCUUAUAC